rnacentral:rRNA from 1 species
CRUUYCCGUYYCRUCUGCCGGCGGUGAGCGAGUGCGUGACGAACGGUGUUCGCGCCGUUCGCGCUACUCGUUUUCUAGCACCGGUGUCGAACGCGUGCACUUUUCCCCUAGUAGGACGUCGCGAUCCGUUGGGUGUCGGUCUAAGGCUCGAGGUGGAGCCCGCGAGGUCGCUUCGGCGUGUCGCGCGGACCCUCGAAAUCCUGGCCGACUUGCUCGACGGUAUAACGAAGGCGCGAGGCCGCUACUCAGUUAGCGUUCGGCUCGUGGCAAGCGCGUUCGGCGUUUGACGGCGAUCGGACCUGGUGCCGAUUCUGUCCCCGGACGACUGUUGGCCGCGAUGCUCUCGAACAGACCUCGAAUCGAAACGCCGAUCUGCGACGCUAUAGCUUUGGGUACUUUCAGGACCCGUCUUGAAACACGGACCAAGGAGUCUAGCAUGUGCGCGAGUCAUUGGGACACAACUAAACCUAAAGGCGUAAUGAAAGUGAAGGUCCGCCUUGCGCGGACCGAGGGAGGAUGGGCGGUUUGCCCUCAAAGUGGCCGCUCCGCACUCCCGGGGCGUCUCGUUCUCAUCGCGAGAAGAGGCGCACCAAGAGCGUACACGCUGGGACCCGAAAGAUGGUGAACUAUGCCUGGUCAGGACGAAGUCAGGGGAAACCCUGAUGGAGGUCCGUAGCGWUUGUKMCRKRCGUAC